AAAGGUGCAUGAGUGGUGUUUGGUUUGUUACGGGUGGUUGGCUCUUGCUUGUGCAACAACUUCCACCUGGCAUACCUCUUCAGUUUUGUGUCAAUGCUUGUAUUGCAUUGAAUGCACGAUGGGUUUCUUGUGUUGCAUGCCUAAUAUAUGGUAUCAUUUGAUUAAUUGAUGUCUAUUUCGUCUUGUGUCGCACAUGCGAUGUGAGAUGAACCUUAAAGCAGCCUUUGUGAUCCACUCUUUUGAUGCACACGCAUUGAUUUUGUGGCCUAUUGAGUGUUGCUUGGUCUCAUGGAUAUGGAACCUUAUGUGGGCAUGGGAUCUUUUACUAGUUCCUUGUUUGCCCUAGUUAAGCUUUUCAAAUACGAUUUCCUAUCAUGUC
rnacentral:misc_RNA from 1 species